GUGAAUCAUCGAAUUUUUGAACGCAAAUUGCACUUUCUGGUAUUCCGGAAAGUAUGCCUGUUUGAGGGUCAGUUAAAUAAAAAUCGGUGUUGUUGUUGCUUUUCUUGGUGACGCGUCGGAAUUGAGUUGUCUUAUCUUCGGGUAAGUGACUUUAAAUUUUACAUGAUUUUCGAACGUUUUGACAUUUCUUACUUUCUUUUUAUAUAUCUAAUACUUUUUUAGGUUCCGUAAUACU
rnacentral:misc_RNA from 1 species